UACGUAGGGUGCAAGCGUUAAUCGGAAUUACUGGGCGUAAAGCGUGCGCAGGCGGUGAUGUAAGACAGAUGUGAAAUCCCCGGGCUCAACCUGGGAACUGCAUUUGUGACUGCAUCGCUGGAGUGCGGCAGAGGGGGAUGGAAUUCCGCGUGUAGCAGUGAAAUGCGUAGAUAUGCGGAGGAACACCGAUGGCGAAGGCAUCCCCUGGGCCUGCACUGACGCUCAUGCACGAAAGCGUGGGGAGCAAACAGG
rnacentral:rRNA from 1 species